UACGAAGGGGGCUAGCGUUGUUCGGAAUUACUGGGCGUAAAGCGCGCGCAGGCGGCUAUCCAAGUCAGUGGUGAAAGCCCGGAGCUCAACUCCGGAACUGCCAUUGAAACUGUUUAGCUUGAGGACGAGAGAGGUGAGUGGAAUUCCGAGUGUAGAGGUGAAAUUCGUAGAUAUUCGGAAGAACACCAGUGGCGAAGGCGACUCACUGGACACGUAUUGACGCUGAGGUGCGAAAGCGUGGGGAGCAAACAGG
rnacentral:rRNA from 1 species